UACGAAGGGGGCUAGCGUUGUUCGGAAUUACUGGGCGUAAAGCGCACGCAGGCGGCUCGAUAAAUUAGAAGUGAGAGCCCCGGGCUUAACCUGGGAAUUGCUUUUAAGACUGUCGGGCUAGAAUCCAGAAGAGGGUAGUGGAAUUCCGAGUGUAGAGGUGAAAUUCGUAGAUAUUCGGAAGAACACCAGUGGCGAAGGCGACUACCUGGUCUGGCAUUGACGCUCAUGUGCGAAAGCGUGGGGAGCAAACAGG
rnacentral:rRNA from 1 species